CCUACGGGCAGCAGCAGUGGGGAAUAUUGGACAAUGGGCGAAAGCCUGAUCCAGCCAUGCCGCGUGUGUGAAGAAGGCCUUCGGGUUGUAAAGCACUUUCAGUGGGGAAGAAAGCCUUGGGGCUAAUACCCUCGAGGAAGGACAUCACCCACAGAAGAAGCACCGGCUAACUCCGUGCCAGCAGCCGCGGUAAUACGGAGGGUGCGAGCGUUAAUCGGAAUUACUGGGCGUAAAGCGCGCGUAGGCGGUCUGAUAAGCCGGUUGUGAAAGCCCCGGGCUCAACCUGGGAACGGCAUCCGGAACUGUCAGGCUAGAGUGCAGGAGAGGAAGGUAGAAUUCCCGGUGUAGCGGUGAAAUGCGUAGAGAUCGGGAGGAAUACCAGUGGCGAAGGCGGCCUUCUGGACUGACACUGACGCUGAGGUGCGAAAGCGUGGGUAGCAAACAGGAUUAGAUACCCCAGUAGUC
rnacentral:rRNA from 1 species